CAGCAGUAGCCGCGGGAAUACGGAGGGUGCAAGCGUUAAUCGGAAUUACUGGGCGUAAAGCGCACGCAGGCGGUCUGACAAGUCAGAUGUGAAAUCCCCGGGCUUAACCUGGGAACUGCAUUUGAAACUGUCAGGCUGGAGUCUUGUAGAGGGGGGUGGAAUUCCAGGUGUAGCGGUGAAAUGCGUAGAGAUCUGGAGGAAUACCGGUGGCGAAGGCGGCCCCCUGGACAAAGACUGACGCUCAGGUGCGAAAGCGUGGGGAGCAAACAGGAUUAGAUACCCGGGUAGUCCCUGUCUCUUAUAC
rnacentral:rRNA from 1 species